UUAUGGGUUUUAUAUCGCCUAAAAUAAUGUUGCAGAAGAUGGCAUUGGAACUCAAAGAAAAUGGAGUCAUCUGAGGAAACUAUCGGCAAUGAUAUAAAUUCGUAUGAUAUCUUUGAAAAUAACCUUGAAGAACUGUUAAAUGGACUCUAAAUGAAGAAAUUCCGCACCGUGAACAUUUAAUCGGAGGUUGUGCUGCUGUGCGUGCCAUUACAAAAGCUGAUCUUUGUAACAGUUUAAGUGCUUUAAAUAUAACAGUGUGUGUUUUGUGUAAAAUGUGUUAAAUAAACCUCAUGUGUCACUAUUGCAAA